AUUGAACGCUGGCGGCAGGCCUAACACAUGCAAGUCGAACGAGUGGCGGACGGGUGAGUAAUGUCUGGGAAACUGCCUGAUGGAGGGGGAUAACUACUGGAAACGGUAGAUAAUACCGCAUACCAUCAGAUGUACCCAGAUGGGAUUAGCUUGUUGGUGGGGUAACGGCCCACCAAGGCGAAGAUCCCUAGCUGGGCUGAGAGGAUGACCAGCCACACCGUGCAUGAGCCACGUUCCAGACUCCUACGGGAGGCAGCAGUGGGGAAUACUGCACAAUGGGGCCAAGCCUGAUGCAGCCAGCCAGCGUGUAUUACGAUGGCCUUCGGGGUGUAUAGUACUUUUAGCCGGGAGGCGUUACCGCCAUCAGAAGGACCGGCUAACUCGGUGUCAGCAGCCGCGGUAAUAC
rnacentral:rRNA from 1 species